rnacentral:sRNA from 1 species
UGAUGUUGAGCUCUUUCAGGAUCGUAA